AACAGUAAAAGUUUAUGUGCUG
rnacentral:miRNA from 1 species